rnacentral:rRNA from 1 species
AUGCCGAGGGAGGCCGCAGGUGCGAGCGCAACCAUGCAAGUCCAGGAGAAGCAGAGGAGGGCCGAGGCCACGCCCUGCGGGGAAGGUCACGCCGCGUCGCCGCGCCUUGAGGACGCGCAGCCGCACUGCGAGCCCAGAUCGUGCCUGAAGACCAUGGCGAUGCCUCGCCGUUUGCCGCCGCUGCCGUUGGCAGUUAUGUGGCGAGUGGAAGCGCCGGAGGGCGCCGUCGACACGGCCAUGCACCAGACCGAUGGACAUGCACACAGGCGAGACAAAAGUGUGUACCUACAGCCUGAGGAAGCGACUACUUCGUCCAGCUUGCUGCCGACGUCACCAGUUUUGGAGGCUAGAUGCGUCUGUUGCCAGUCGAGCUGUGGCAACCAAUCUACUGUUGACUGA